rnacentral:rRNA from 1 species
CCUACGGGUGGCUGCAGUGAGGAAUAUUGGGCAAUGGGCGCAAGCCUGACCCAGCAACUCCGCGUGAAGGAAGAAGGCCCUCUGGUUGUUCACUCCUUUUUUCAGGUACGACGCAAGUGACGGUACCUGUCGAAUAAGCCACGGCUAACCACGUGCCAGCAGCCGCGGUAAUACGUAGGUGACAAGCGUUAUCCGGAUUUACGGGGUGGAAAGGGGUUGUAGGCGGGGAAGCAAGUCAGAUGUGAAAUUCCAGGGCUCAACCCUGGAACUGCAUUUGAAACUGGUUGUCGUGAGUGAUGGAGAGGCAGGCGGAAUUCCGUGUGUAGCGGUGAAAUGCGUAGAUAUACGGAGGAACACCAGUGGCGAAGGCGGCCUGCUGGACAUUAACUGACGCUGAGGCGCGAAAGCGUGGGGAGCAAACAGGAUUAGAUACCCCAGUAGUC